rnacentral:rRNA from 1 species
GACGGAGGGUGCUAGCGUUGUUCGGAAUGACUGGGCGUAAAGGGUGCGUAGGCGGCGCGGUAAGUCGGGUGUGAAAUCUCGGGGCUUAACUCCGAAACUGCAUUCGAUACUGCCGUGCUUGAGGACUGGAGAGGAGACUGGAAUUUACGGUGUAGCGGUGAAAUGCGUAGAUAUCGUAAGGAAGACCAGUGGCGAAGGCGGGUCUCUGGACAGUUCCUGACGCUGAGGCAACGAAGGCCCAGGGGAGCAAACGGG